CAGGACACAGCCCCACCCUCGGUCCCUUCCUGAUCCCUAAGCCCUCGCUGGCCCUACCCUCACAGGCUCUGCAGCGCCCCCAUGCCUGGGGCCUCCUCGGCUUUGCCUGCUCAGCUCUGGGGCAAGGCCUGCCCAUGCCCGUGGCCGGAGGGUCGGCGAGGAGGAGAGCUCGGGGCGGGCUGCUGGGCACAUGAGGUUCCUGGGCCAGGGGGACACAGUGGAUUGCUUUCGGGAAGGUCAGAGCCACCCAGCCCUGGCUCACAUGCCACUGCGGUACUCCAUCGGGGGUCCCGGGGAAGCCGGGCUCUCUUGGGUUCCUUCUGGGUGGGCCUGGGGCCCAUCCUUCCUCAGUGAGGCAGGCAGGACUCGAGACUGACCUCAAACUAGCCUCAAUGCUCAGUGUGGAUGGAGAGGAAGGGUCUUCCCUGCCACAGUGAGCCAGGGCUCAGGGGACGGAGGCUGGGAGGGAAGCACUUGGAGUAUGGGCUGGACGUGCUUACACCGUGUGAUGCAGGCAGUGAGAACGCCUCGGCCACAGGCAGAGGAGACCCCAGUCCUUCCCUGAGGAAGCCCCUGCCGAGUACCAGAGGGGCUCACAGAGAUGAGCCAGACCACACGCCCACUGUCCCCUCUCCUCAGCAUGAGGGGCAGGCACACAGCCCCGGCCUCACCUUGCCCCGGCCAGUUCCCAGGACCCAGCGUUCCCAGCACGGAAGGAGGACCAGCCCAGAGAGCUCUAGCCAUUCCCACACCUGGCCCCCCAGCACCAGACCCGCAGACGGACGGACAGGGAGAGGGCCACCAGGAGAACACGAACCCUUCUGAUCCCACUCAUGGCUCCAACCAAAGCUCGGUUUUGUUCCACAAAAGCAAGCGCGGCGCUGAGGAGGGCAGACGGCGGCCACGUCUGCUGGGGAACGGAGCCUGGCUGCCUCCCUCUGCUGCCUGAGGGGAGCCUGUUCUCACUGUUGUCUUUGAUUCUGUAUUUGGUAUUCUGAUUCUGGAAUCCAUUUAUCACAAGGCCAGACUAGUGGCCAAAGUAGUUUACAUCUCCCCUGUGACACUGAGCCGCCCUGACCUGAUCUCACAUCCCCACGCCAACAUCUCCCUGCCCUAAAUCAACCCAGGCCGGGUGCCAUGCACCAGGGACAGCCCCACGGCCCCCAGUGUGCCUGAAGGACUCAGUCAGCCCAUCCUCAGCUGCUCACGCUGCCCUGCCUGGCCGUUGGGUCAGAAACCCCCAUGGAGGCUCCGUGCCUCUUAUUCCCAGGGGCUGUAACAAUCAGCUUCUUUUCCACAAUCCUGGCAUCCAUGUCAUCCUGCAGCCACCUCCACCAUCUCAGACCCGGGCACGGAUCAGACCACUUCCCACCACCAUCUCCACCAUCUAAGACCCGGGCACGGAUCAGACCACCUCCCACCACCAUCUCCACCAUCUAAGACCCAGGCACGGAUCAGACCGCCUCCCACCACCGUCUCCACCAUCUCAGACCCGGGCACGGAUCAGACCACCUCCCACCACCGUCUCCACCAUCUCAAACCCGGGCACGGAUCAGACAGCCUCCCACCACCGUCUCCACCAUCUCAGACCCGGGCACGGAUCAGACCACCUCCCACCACCAUCUCCACCAUCUCCACCAUCUCAGACCUGGGCACGGAUCAGACCGCCUCCCACCACCGUCUCCACCAUCUCAGACCCGGGCACGGAUCAGACCACCUCCCACCACCAUCUCCACCAUCUCCACCAUCUCAGACCCGGGCACGGAUCAGACCGCCUCCCACCACCACCCACCACCAACCUGCAUCUGUGUCUUCUCUGUGGUGCUCCUUUGCCUCACAAGCUGCACUGGGAGGCUUCAGGGGGUAGCCUCCUCGAGGGCAGGGCCCUGCAGAGCCACAUGCAGAGGCCAACGGCCCCAGCGUCCCCCAGCACCAGCAAGGAUCUGGGGGCUGUGCUCCGGCGAGGGUGAUGGGUGCCUGCUUACCUCGGCCCACUGCUUGGCCCGGAUCCGCAUCUGGCUGUAGUUCCGCUCCUCAGAGUACAGGGCACCCAUGAAGGCCCCGAUGGACGUGCCUCCCACCAUGUCCACAGGGAUGCCACACUCCGCCAAGGCCUUGAGAAUGCCCACCUGGGCA
rnacentral:lncRNA from 1 species